rnacentral:rRNA from 1 species
AAGCUCGUAGUUGAAUUUCGGGGUUAGUAGGUUGGUCAUGCCUCUGGUAUGUACUGGUCUCACUGAUUCCUCCUUCCUUAUGAACCGUAAUGCCAUUAAUUUGGUGUUGCGGGGAAUUUGGACUGUUACUUUGAAAAAAUUAGAGUGUUUAAAGCAAGCUAACGCUUGAAUACAUUAGCAUGGAGUAAUGAAAUAGGACGUUCGAUCUUAUUUUGUUGGUUUCUAGGAUUGACGUAAUGAUUAAUAGGAUAGUUGGG